ACGACUCGGCAGCGGAUAUCGGCUCUGGCAUCGAUGAAGAACGCAGCGAAAUGCGAUAAGUAAUGUGAAUUGCAGAAUCCGCGAACCAUCGAGUCUUUGAGCGCAAGUUGCGCGAAGCCAUCGGCGAGGGCACGUCUGCCUGGGUGUCA